ensembl:lncRNA
GUGGAGGCUAUAUACAGGGGUACCGGUACAGAGUCAAUGUGGAGGCUAUAUACAGGGGGUACCGGUACAGAGUCAAUGUGGAGGCUAUAUACAGGGGGUACCGGUACAGAGUCAAUGUGGAGGCUAUAUACAGGGGUACCGGUACAGAGUCAAUGUGGAGGCUAUAUACAGGGGGUACCGGUACAGAGUCAAUGUGGAGGCUAUAUACAGGGGGUACCGGUACAGAGUCAAUGUGGAGGCUAUAUACAGGGGGUACCGGUACAGAGUCAAUGUGGAGGCUAUAUACAGGGUGUACCAGUACAGAGUCAAUGUGGAGGCUAUAUACAGAGUGUUACGGUACAGAGUCAAUGUGGAGGCUGUAUACAGGGGGUACCGGUACAGAGUCAAUGUGGAGGCUAUAUACAGAGUGUUACGGUACAGAGUCAAUGUGGAGGCUGUAUACAGGG